UACGUAGGGUGCGAGCGUUGUCCGGAAUUAUUGGGCGUAAAGCGUCUGUAGGUGGCUUUUUAAGUCCGCCGUCAAAUCCCAGGGCUCAACCCUGGACAGGCGGUGGAAACUACCAAACUGGAGUACGGUAGGGGCAGGAGGGAAUUUCCGGUGGAGCGGUGAAAUGCGUAGAGAUCGGAAAGAACACCAACGGCGAAAGCACUCUGCUGGGCCGACACUGACACUGGAGAAGACGAAAGCCUAGGGGAGCGAAUGGG
rnacentral:rRNA from 1 species